CCUCUUACGUCUUCCUCAUUUGCUCACAAUAACCCACUCUCUCUUCCUUUUUGUCUGAAGACGAGAAGACUUAAGGACCAAAAGGGGUUUUGGCAUAGCACGUCCCCAAUGCGUCAUAUACUCAAAGGGACACAUAGCCUGAGCUCUUCAGCAUAGGGGAAGUCAACAGGGGAUAGAGACAAAAGACAGUAGGGGGUCAAACAGGACAGAAAUGUGUCAACAUCUGGGAAUGAUUAAGUAUUUACAACAGAAUACAAGAGCGAAAAAAGUAACAUUAAAUGUGUGCCAGGCCUUAUUUCACAUUAUCACAUGGGAAUUUUACGGUAAGGAAACAUUCAAGGACACUGGAAAAUCCAGGGAGUCGUGCUCCAAGGCAAGUGCCCAUUCUCAACACAUUCCCAACUGUGAGCACUUGAGUCCAGCCAAUCAAAGCAGAGUUUCAGCAGACCUAUGUCACAGGACCAACAUAGAUUACAUUUUUACUUCAUUCAUAUAUUUGA